AGAGUUUGAUCAUGGCUCAGGAUAAACGCUGGCGGCGUGCCUAAUCAAUGCGAGUCGUGCGGACCUUCGGGUCAGCGGCGUCCGGGUGAGUAACGCGUAGCUAACCUGCCUACCAGUGGGGGAUACCCGUCAGAAAUGGCGGCUAAUACCGCAUAGAGUGACGAUGCGAGAGUGUCGGCAUGAAAGCCGCAAGGCGCUGGGAGAUGGGGCUGCGUCUGAUUAGCUAGUUGGUGGGGUAAAGGCCUACCAAGGCGAUGAUCAGUAGCUGGUCUGAGAGGAUGGUCAGCCACACUGGGACUGAGACAUGGUCCAGAGCUCUACGGGGUUUAGCAUGAAGGGAUAUUGCGCAAUGGGCGAAAGCCUGACGCAGCAACGCCGCGUGUGGGACGACGCCUUUCGGGGUGUAAACCACUUUUCCCAAGGAAGAAGAAUGUGACGGUACUUGGGGAAUAAGCCUUGGCUAAGUACGUGCCAGCAGCCGCGGUAAUACGUACGAGGCAAGCGUUAUCCGGAAUUACUGGGCGUAAAGCGCAUGCAGGCGGGCUGUUAAGUAGGGCGUGAAAUCUCCCGGCCUAACUGGGAGGGGUCGCUCUAAACUGGCAGUCUUGAGGAUGGCAGAGGUAGGUGGAAUUCCUGGUGUAGUGGUGAAAUGCGUAGAGAUCAGGAGGAACACCGGUGGCGAAGGCGGCCUACUGGGCCAUCACUGACGCUGAGAUGCGAAAGCUCGGGGAGCGAACGGGAUUAGAUACCCUAGUAGUCC
rnacentral:rRNA from 1 species